rnacentral:rRNA from 1 species
GAUGAACGCUGGCGGCGUGCCUAAUACAUGCAAGUCGAGCGCGAGAGUGAGGAGCUUGCUCCUCAUAAUCGAGCGGCGGACGGGUGAGUAACACGUAGGCAACCUACCCUUGAGAUUGGGAUAACUACCGGAAACGGUAGCUAAUACCGGAUACGACUUUUCCACACAAGUGGAAUGGUUAAAAGGCGGAUUUAUCUGCCGCUCAUGGAUGGGCCUGCGGUGCAUUAGCUAGUUGGGGGGGUGGUGGCUCACAAAGGCGACGAUGCAUAGCCGACCUGAGAGGGUGAUCGGCCACACUGGGACUGAGACACGGCCCAGACUCCUACGGGAGGCAGCAGUAGGGAAUCUUCCGCAAUGGACGCAAGUCUGACGGAGCAACGCCGCGUGAGUGAUGAAGGGUUUCGGCUCGUAAAACUCUGUUGUUAAGGAAGAACACUUGAGGUAGUAACUGGCCUUGAGAUGACGGUACUUAACCAGAAAGCCACGGCUAACUACGUGCCAGCCGCCGCAGUAA